CAGCCGCCGCGGGAAUACAGAGGGUGCAAGCGUUAAUCGGAAUUACUGGGCGUAAAGCGCGCGUAGGUGGUUUGUUAAGUUGGAUGUGAAAUCCCCGGGCUCAACCUGGGAACUGCAUCCAAAACUGGCAAGCUAGAGUAUGGUAGAGGGUGGUGGAAUUUCCUGUGUAGCGGUGAAAUGCGUAGAUAUAGGAAGGAACACCAGUGGCGAAGGCGACCACCUGGGCUCAUACUGACACUGAGGUGCGAAAGCGUGGGGAGCAAACAGGAUUAGAUACCCCAGUAGUCCCUGUCUCUUAUAC
rnacentral:rRNA from 1 species